GUGCUUGCUUUGGCAGCACAUAUUAAAAUUGGAACAAUUUUAAGAUGAGCGUGGCCCUUGUGCAAGGAUGACGUGCAAAUUUGUGAAACGUUCCAUAUUUUU
ensembl:snRNA U6 U6 spliceosomal RNA